AAAAAAAACCUUUCUCAAAACAUCUUAAAUAUUCAGUGUAGCUGCUUCUAAUGCUUCAUGGACCAAUUUCUUCCUCCCAAACUCAUUCUGGGUCUGCUUGCAAAUUUCUCAAACUGCAGGUAGGCUAUAACAAUGCAUAACAAGGAAGGAGGGAAGAGAAUUCUCUGUUUUCUUCUCAAACCCAUAGUAGAAGUUGACAGAUUCUCAAUACAGAACAAACAAGGAAAACCAGAACUUCAUUACACGACGUAUCGUCCCACGA
rnacentral:misc_RNA from 1 species